AUUGAUCUUAUUUAAUCAAUUGCUAUGCGUAAAAUCUGGGAUUGAUUUUUGGAAGAACUGGCAAACAAUCGAUUGUGGUAACUUGACCAUCGAUUGUCACUGAGUAAUUUCAGCAACUCUUAAUUGGCAAUUAGGCAACGGUAAUACAAGUCUUUUCAACUAUAAAUACAGCUUCAAUUCAGUCUUUUAAAUACAACAACA
rnacentral:lncRNA from 1 species